rnacentral:rRNA from 1 species
AACGAACGCUGGCGGCAGGCUUAACACAUGCAAGUCGAACGCAUCGCAAGAUGAGUGGCAGACGGGUGAGUAACGCGUGGGAACAUACCCUUUUCUAUGGAAUAGCUCUGGGAAACUGGAAUUAAUACCGUAUACGCCCUACGGGGGGAAAGAUUUAUCGGGGAAGGAUUGGCCCGCGUUGGAUUAGCUAGUUGGUGGGGUAAAGGCCUACCAAGGCGACGAUCCAUAGCUGGUCUGAGAGGAUGAUCAGCCACAUUGGGACUGAGACACGGCCCAAACUCCUACGGGAGGCAGCAGUGGGGAAUAUUGGACAAUGGGCGCAAGCCUGAUCCAGCCAUGCCGCGUGAGUGAUGAAGGCCUUAGGGUUGUAAAGCUCUUUCACCGAUGAAGAUAAUGACGGUAGUCGGAGAAGAAGCCCCGGCUAACUUCGUGCCAGCCGCCGCAGUAAAAC